CUAGCCGUAAACGAUGUAGACUUGGUGUCGGUGGGUUAAAAGCCAUCGGUACCGUAGCUAACGCGAUAAGUCUACCGCCUGGGGAUUACGGCCGCAAGGCUAAAACUCAAAGGAAUUGACGGGUCCCCGCACAAGCAGCGGAGCGUGUGGUUUAAUUCGAUGUUACACGAAGAACCUUACCUGGGUUUGACAUACAGGUGGUAGGAAACCGAAAGGCAACCGACUCUUCGGAGAGCCUGUACAGGUGAUGCAUGGCUGUCGUCAGCUCGUGCCGUGAGGUGUCCGGUUAAGUCCGGUAACGAGCGCAACCCUUGCUGUAUGUUACAUGUGUCAUACGGGACUGCCGGUAUAAAGCCG
rnacentral:rRNA from 1 species